CCCGUCACAUCACGAAAGUGAGCUGUACUAGAAGUCGUCGCGCUAACCGCAAGGAGGCAGACGCCCAAGGUAUGACUCAUGAUUGGGGUG
rnacentral:rRNA from 1 species